rnacentral:rRNA from 1 species
AGAGUUUGAUCCUGGCUCAGGAUGAACGCUAGCGACAGGCCUAACACAUGCAAGUCGAGGGGCAGCGGGGAGGUAGCAAUACCUUUGCCGGCGACCGGCGCACGGGUGAGUAACACGUAUGCAAUCCACCUGUAACAGGGGGAUAACCCGGAGAAAUCCGGACUAAUACCCCAUAAUAUGGGCUCUCCGCAUGGAGGGUUCAUUAAAGAGAGCAAUUUUGGUUACAGACGAGCAUGCGCUCCAUUAGCCAGUUGGCGGGGUAACGGCCCACCAAAGCGACGAUGGAUAGGGGUUCUGAGAGGAAGGUCCCCCACAUUGGAACUGAGACACGGUCCAAACUCCUACGGGAGGCAGCAGUGAGGAAUAUUGGUCAAUGGACGAGAGUCUGAACCAGCCAAGUCGCGUGAGGGAAGACUGCCCUAUGGGUUGUAAACCUCUUUUAUAAGGGAAGAAUAAGUUCUACGUGUAGAAUGAUGCCUGUACCUUAUGAAUAAGCAUCGGCUAACUCCGUGCCAGCAGCCGCGGUAAUACGGAGGAUGCGAGCGUUAUCCGGAUUUAUUGGGUUUAAAGGGUGCGUAGGCGGCACGCCAAGUCAGCGGUGAAAUUUUCGGGCUCAACCCGGACUGUGCCGUUGAAACUGGCGAGCUAGAGUGCACAAGAGGCAGGCGGAAUGCGUGGUGUAGCGGUGAAAUGCAUAGAUAUCACGCAGAACCCCGAUUGCGAAGGCAGCCUGCUAGGGUGCGACAGACGCUGAGGCACGAAAGCGUGGGUAUCGAACAGGAUUAGAUACCCUGGUAGUCCACGCAGUAAACGAUGAAUACUAACUGUUUGCGAUACAAUGUAAGCGGUACAGCGAAAGCGUUAAGUAUUCCACCUGGGGAGUACGCCGGCAACGGUGAAACUCAAAGGAAUUGACGGGGGCCCGCACAAGCGGAGGAACAUGUGGUUUAA